ACUGAAAGUGUGUCCAAGACACUGAUCUCAUUAAAGUGGAUAUGGCAUAGGACGAAAUAAGUGUGACCAAUUGAAGGUUGUAGUCUCUGUACACAAUAUGGCGGUGUAUACGAAUACGAACACAGUUUACUGUGACGAUGAUACGAAAUUCCACGUGUAAUUAAUUAUCUAUAGACGUAGAUGUGUAUCAGUUUUAUCCAAAAUAUUACUUUUUUUAUAAUAAAAAUAGUAAAAUAGUAAAAUAGUGAGAUUCCAAAAUUAAAAAAUGUGUUUAUUGUGGAAAAGGAAGUGAAAAUAAACAACAAACGUUUCAUAGCUGCAAGUAUGGAUUACUACAACACAAUUAAGGACACGAGGACAAAAUAAGCUAUAACAAUAUCCUUUAAACUUAUUUAUAAGUUUAGUAGUAGUAGUAUUAUUUAUUAGUAAAAUUAUUUAACAAGAUGGUCAUAAAUAAAAAUUUACGAUUUUUAGACACCUGCAA